rnacentral:rRNA from 1 species
UAAUUGAAGAGUUUGAUCAUGGCUCAGAUUGAACGCUGGCGGCAGGCUUAACACAUGCAAGUCGAGCGGUAGCACAAGAGAGCUUGCUCUCUGGGUGACGAGCGGCGGACGGGUGAGUAAUGUCUGGGAAACUGCCUGAUGGAGGGGGAUAACUACUGGAAACGGUAGCUAAUACCGCAUAACGUCGCAAGACCAAAGAGGGGGACCUUCGGGCCUCUUGCCAUCAGAUGUGCCCAGAUGGGAUUAGCUAGUAGGUGGGGUAAUGGCUCACCUAGGCGACGAUCCCUAGCUGGUCUGAGAGGAUGACCAGCCACACUGGAACUGAGACACGGUCCAGACUCCUACGGGAGGCAGCAG